UACGAAGGGGGCUAGCGUUGUUCGGAAUUACUGGGCGUAAAGCGCGCGUAGGGCGUGAUUCUUGUCAGAGGUGAAAUCCCGAGGCUCAACUUCGGAAUUGCCUUUGAAACGGGAUUGCUUGAGUCCGAGAGAGGAUGGCGGAAUUCCUAGUGUAGAGGUGAAAUUCGUAGAUAUUAGGAAGAACACCGGUGGCGAAGGCGGCCAUCUGGCUCGGUACUGACGCUCAGGCGCGAAAGCGUGGGGAGCAAACAGGG
rnacentral:rRNA from 1 species